UUACCUACGGGACGCAGCAGUGAGGAAUAUUGGUCAAUGGGCGGAAGCCUGAACCAGCCAAGUCGCGUGAGGGAAUAAGGCCCUACGGGUCGUAAACCUCUUUUGCCGGGGAGCAAGGGCGGGGACGUGUCCCGGCCCGGAGAGUACCCGGAGAAAAAGCAUCGGCUAACUCCGUGCCAGCAGCCGCGGUAAUACGGAGGAUGCGAGCGUUAUCCGGAUUUAUUGGGUUUAAAGGGUGCGUAGGUGGUUAAUUAAGUCAGCGGUGAAAGUUUGUGGCUCAACCAUAAAAUUGCCGUUGAAACUGG
rnacentral:rRNA from 1 species